UACACUCCCAAGAGUGCCUUCGGGAACCCCUCUCCCCACUACCCAACCAGAGAGACAGCCCCACGCCCGGCAAGACGCAACUCCGGGCCACGGAGGGCGCCGCCCGGACAGCCCGGCCGGGUCAGGGGGCUUCGCCGCCGAGCACCCUCCGGCAGCCGCCCUCGGGCCUCCGCGGCCGGGCGGGAGGGCGCCUCCCCGACCACACUUCGGCCGCUUGGCACCCACAGCCGGGAGGGCGUGAGGAAGGACUCGGUCUAACUCCGGGGAACCCUCGGAGUUCCGGCGCAGACACCCGAGGGGGUGUCCUGGGAACUCCUUCGCCCGCGACACCCGUUCUUCUCCGUCUCCCGACCACCAGCGACGCAGCAGGGCGGCUGCCGGCCCGGCCCGGCCCGCCUUGCGGGCUGUGCGCGGCGCAGCUCUUCCUCCGCGGGGCCGUGAAGGCCACCGGCCGCCCCCGCGCGCCCAGCUGCCCGGCCCCGCCGCCUAAGCCGCCGCGUUGCUGGCGGGUAGCCGCGGGCCUCCGGUGCGCGGGCCCCGGCGCGUCCCCGAGCGCGCGCCUGGCCGCGGCCCCGCGCGAGUUGCACUAACUUUCCGGGGCGGGGGAGGGGUGGGCGCCGCGGGCCCGGCUCCCAGGCCUUACCUGUGCUCAAGUUGUCGUUGAUUUUCAAAGGCACCCGCAGGAUGUAGACCAGGAAUAGCACGAUGAAGAACCACACGGUCCACAGAUACGUCCAAGACCAAACUAUGCAGGACUUGAGCUGCUCCAGAAAGCCCGUGGCCGCUUCAGCCAUGUUUCAGCGCUCCUCUCUGCUGCCGCGGCUCUUGGUGUCUGCCGGGAUGAUUCACCGGCCCGGAGGCGCAGCUCGCGCCGCCGCCGCCGCCGCGGCCCGGGCGCCCCCGGAGCCCGCCCGCCGCCGGGGACGCGGGCUCGGCGGGAAAUCGCGCGGGCCGCGGGCGCGCCGGCUUUUCCUUCUCCAGCCUUAUUGCUAACUCUCUAAAGGUCCCUACAAGUGGCUUUCGUGGAGCGAUCACGUGGCCCCUGCCCCCUCGCGUUCUGGGUCCAUUUAUAUUUAUUAUGCUAAUAUUUAGAAAGAGAAGGCCAAGUGGCGCGCCGAAGGAAACGCCUCAGGCAGUUACAACCCGCAUAAGUUGAGCGUUUACCACACGCCAGGCGCUGCUCCACGAUCCGUACAAUCUCAUUUAACCCCUGCAACAAUUCCCCACUACGAUCCUCUUUCUAUAGGUAGGGAAACUGAGGCUCACAGCAGCUGCGUAGUUUACCUUAAGGUGGAACCAAAAUUCAAUUGCAGUGGUGUAUUCUGGGGUCCGAGGUCUUAAACCCUACUCUGCUCCCUUAUCAGGAUUCAGGCUCAGGGAAUGAAUAAACCCGGGACAGCUAGGAGAAGGGAGGAGGUGCGCUCCUGUCGCCGGCUAGUAGGCCUGAAGAUAAAUCACUCUAUUCAGCAAGAUUUGGGUGGCAGAUGCUAUUUACCUUUGUUCUGUCUCUUUGAAGCAGCGCAGGGAUUUUCCAGAGAAAUCUUGACAGAUGAAUGUUUAUCCUCCAGGUUUUUUGGUGAUCAGAGGUCAAACUAUUCUCAGCCUGUUUUUAAUAUAAACAAUUCUCUGGGAUAAUUUUGACUGUGAAACGGCCACCUCUAACAGAAAGUCCAUUUUAAACAUUGUUUUGUUGUUUUUGUUUUGUUUUGACUGUGCUGAAUAAAAUGUUUCUUUUAUUCUAAAAUGUUUUCUCAGCUGAAAUUUUCAAGUCUGUUUCUGUCCGUAAGUGAUUUGACUUUCUAUGUAUUAGAUGGUAAUGAGGAAAUUGCAGGUUUUCCAGUCUACAUCUAUUUUUAAAAUUCUGAGCAUAAAGAAUAUUUUAUUAUAAAAAAAAAAAAAAAAAAAAAA
rnacentral:lncRNA from 1 species